AGGCUGCAACUCGCCUACACGAAGCUGGAAUCGCUAGUAAUCGCGGAUCAGCACGCCGCGGUGAAUACGUUCCCGGGCCUUGUACACACCGCCCGUCACACCAUGAGAGUCUGUAACACCCAAGCCGGUGGGAUAACCUUUAUAGGAGUCAGCCGUCUAAGGUAGGACAGAUGAUUAGGGUGAAGUCGUAACAAGGUACC
rnacentral:rRNA from 1 species